GUGGAAUCAAAUUUAUUGACCAUUUCUAAAAUGAUAAAGCCAAAGCAAGAACUUGCAUUUGAAGCAACAACAAAACAUCAUAACCAAUAUGGUCUCAGAAAACUCUAUCUAAGGGAGUUGAUCCAAUCAGCCUUGCACCAACUCGAUCCAGUCUCUUUACAGAUGCCUCAGCUUUCAAAUUCCCUUCCUUCAUAAACGCCAUAACCAUCCUCUCACCAAUCUCCUUCCCCUUCUCUUCAUCAUCGAUCACGGCCACUGCCGUUGGCCCUGCCCCGCUUAUCGUACACCCAAAUGCCCCGGCAGCAAUGGCUGCCUUCUUAACCCCAUCCAUCCCCG
rnacentral:misc_RNA from 1 species